AGUUGCAACUGCGACAUUACGCCGAGGCUCUGAAGUGGGAAAUUGCAGACCAAAGCUAGGCUGGAAGGCUAUAUUUGAGGUGGUUAUUAGCGUUGUGGUCUGUUUAGCGUUAUGAAGCCUACCUUGACUCCCAGAUGUUCACUGUGAAUCUUGUUGGUGCUGGUAUCACUGUACCUCUCAAAUAGCUUCCCCAUUUUGACUAAGAAUGAAGAGGUUCUUGGAUAAAGAACUUGUAAAAAUCAGGUACAAUAAUAAAGUUGUGAAUGGUUCUUGGAAUUUGCUAAAAUGAAAUGCUGCAUCUAAGUGCAAUUUUUACACACAGCCCAAAAGAUGGACAUUUGGCAAAUCAUAAUGGACUGCUCCUUUCCCAGCCUUCUGCCCCAGAGUCUUCUCCAAAGAUGCAGGAGCUUGCUGGACCCACUUGCAAGGGAAGCCUGGAAGUUGGGGAGUUAAUGCCGUCAUGACACUCCCAACCAGUGAAUCAUGAGUUUCUAGGUAAGGGCAUGGCUUAGAUGGGCCAUCUGCUUAGAGUCUCACAAGACUGUAAUCAAGGUGACACCUGGACAGUGUUCUCAUCUGGAGACUUGACUGAGGAAGAAACCCCUUUUUAAGCUCACCCAGGUUAUUGGCAGAAUUCAUUUCCAUGCUGCUCUAAGACCAAGGAUCCAGACUUCUUUCUGACUGCUGGCUGGAGUUUGCCCAAGGUUCCUCACCAUUAGAGCUUCCUUAACAUGACUGCUUACUUCAUCAAGCCAAAAAGGAGAGCGUCUAGAGUGAGUCUACUAGCAAGACAGCAUCUUAUAUUAUGUAACAUGAUCACAGGAAGAACAUCCCACCACUUUUGCCAUAUUCUGUUGGUUAGAAGCAAGUCCCAGGUCCUGCCUGCACACAAGAGUGAACACACCAGGAAGCAAGGAUCCCUGGUGGUCAUCCUAGAGUUUGUGUGCCAAAUACAGUAAAUGAAUGAAUAAAUGAAAGUGUGAGUGAGUGAAUAAGUAAAUGAGUAGGUGAAUGAUUGAAGUUGGGUGUGAAUGUUGUAAGCCCCUUGGACAACAGAAGACAUGACAAAUAGUUGUAAAGACAGGAUAAAUGGGUAGGUAGUAGACUCUAAGGUGACUGCUCAGUUGAAGUCAUAACACAAGCAUCUAACCUUUGUGAAAAUAAUGUGUUGAAUAAUUAUGGGGCCUGGGCUGUAAGGCCUAGAGAAUGUCAGAGUAAAAUAUCAGGGAUGGUGGGAAAUAGAGACCUAAAAGAAUAUAUAGGGCUUUUAGUCUCAAUUUAAAGUGAUAAUUUUCUUACAGUUGGAGCAAAUGGAGAAAUUAGAAAUGAAAUAAAAUGGUCAAAUAUAAUUACAUAAGUUUUUAACUUCUAAGUAAUAGAAAUAACUAACAACAAAAACCAAAAAAAAUCAACAUACAUGAAAAAUAGAAUUAUCAGCACCAAGUAUAUGAAAAGUUAUUCAAACAUACAUGUGAACACUAAUAAUAUUCCCAAUGGAUAAAUGGGCAAAGGACAUGAUUAUAUGAUUCAUGCACAGGAAAUAUGAAUAGCAAAAUAAAUUUGAAAAACAGUUUAAAUUUAAUAUGAAUAGGGGAAAAGCCUCACAAACAAAAAAAAAUUCAAGUACCUAUGCAAUCCAUCUUAUUUUACCAGCUGAUUACUUUAAGAUGAGAGAGUAAACAGUAAAGUUCAUUGCAUUAGUAUUGUUAAGCAAAACACCUGGUAUAACUUAUAACUCACCCUGGGUGGGUGGGUAUUCGAUAAUAAUUAGCUGUCAGUAGUCAGUGAUAGGAGAGCUAGUAUGGAUAACUGCAGUCGCCAAAUCAUCAAAACACUUAUUUGCAGACCAUAAGACCACAUUAACGUGAGGCAGCUAACAUGGGGGAAAAAGCUGUUUAGAAUUCUUUCAAUUUUACUUAUACCACUUUGGUAGCUGCAAUACAGUAAAACAGAUAGAGAUCAGACCCCGGAAGAACAAGGAAACUAGGCAAACAGGCUGGAUACUCCACAGGAAGAGUAUCUGCCCAAGAACAAGGUCAGCGUUCCUACUUUAACGAACAUUCUGAUGACAACACCUCAGCCUCGGGUGAACUUCUUUGUGACAGCGUCGUGGGAUGCCGCAGGGCUGCAUGGACUGUUCCUGGACUUGGCACACAAAUGGCGACACAGGUGGGUAUCCACUUUUCCCUCUCCCUUGGGCCUGUUCUGGGUAGACAGGGAAAAUCAGUUUUGAUGCCAGUGAUGAUAUACCCAAUAUGUUUGUGCACGUGUGUCCUCAGGUCUCUUUAGGAGUAAGUUAUGGCACAUCUCUCAUCAUGGCCAGGGAUGGAAGGGCCAACAAUUAAAUGAAUAAUAGUAAGCACUCA